AGGAGUGUCAGGGGCGGGGUUCCCAUGUUGCGCUAUGGAAAAUCGUUAGGGGAUACACUGUGACAAACAUGCGCUCUGAGAUUGAUAAUAACCAGAAUAAGGCCAAAACGGGAACCUGGCGGAGUCAAUAUUCAGCGAGGGCCGGAACUGGGUGGCGCCGGCCAGGAUGAGGUACACAUUUCUUCAGCACAGAUGGAGGGAAGGCUUGAGCUAAACACGAUAACAAGGAGCCGGAGGCUCUGACAGGCCAGGAUCAUUCCACACAUUUAGUGCCAGACCUACAGAGUUCAGUGAGUCUUCUGUUAUUUCAAAAUAAAAGAAAUACCAGAAUCCGUUUCUCAUUCAGUCAGACGCCACUUGUUAACACUUUUAUUUGCUCCUUUCAGCACCUGUUUUUUCUGACUUCAAUUACAGUCGACCCCAUUUGGACCAGGAGCAGCACCGGAUGGCUGAAGUUGGCCCAGGAGAAGACACAGUAUAUGCCAUCAUGCCUGACAAAGAAGUCUGUGGGAAUGCUGCUGAGAUCUAUUUUUCCACACCGUGAUUCACUGACAGUUUCUGCCAGGCUUGAUCUGUGUUUCCAUUUCGCUACUAUGCCCUACCAUCCUGAGAACCUGGCCAUCUGAUGCACUAACAAGCUGCUAAAACGUUGAGCUGACUGACUGUUUCCUGUUUAGGUUUAAGAAACUUUAUAGCAUCAUCUUGCCUAUCAUUCAAAAAAUCUUUAUAUUGUACACUAUGUACUAUUCCCAAAUUACCUAGUGUACAUGUAAAUGUAGAUGUCUGUUUUGGAAAAUAGACAUCUAUUCCUAAAAAAAUAUAUAUACAGGCUGGAAUUUAGUCUUUCAUUAUCAGACAUUCUUUUGUGAAGUUGCAGCUCUAUACUUAACCUUGAAGGUUGCUUCAAACAAUGAGGAGCAGUUUGUUUUUCAUACUUUCAUAGAAGCAAAAAGUAGAUCAGCAUUCUCUGGAGAUAAAAAAGCUUGCUACUGUAAUGCAGCGAGAGCAAAAAACAAACAGGCAAGAGAAUGCCAACAGCACUCUGCUGCCCUAUUUGAUAAGAGGAAGAACUGAAUAAAAAAAGAAAGAAUAUAAGACUGACAGUAGGUCAAUGAAGCUUUCACUGAUGUUGUUCGAUGCUGAUUAAAGUGUUCUGACAAAUCAAAAGUGAAGGUGCUGCAUUUCUAGGUCCAUCCUUGCAGAUGAAUCAUAAAACAUGUUGAAAACAACGACAUUAGUUUUUUUCCCCCCAGGUGUGCCAGGAGCUGUGUCGGCUUUAAAGUCCUCCUCCCCAGGGAACUGGUUUCAGAUGGUGUCUUAGAGUCUAAAAUCCCAUCUAGCACCAUUUGAAAUCGGUGUUCUUGAGCAGGAACAGACUUCACUUUAGCAAUCAGUGUAGGACUGCUGUUUGGUUUGUGAUGGUAAUUUUCAAAACAAUUUGAAAUAGGACCCGGAAUGGGUUGCAUAUUGACAGACGGUAUUGCUCUACAAAACAUCAGCUUUUAAAUAGACAAGAGCAUAGGAAUCCAUUCUUCUGACCCUCUAAUCAAGGCUGACCGUUUUCCUCUGGUGUUCAGAGUUUCCAUCAUGUCUAGCACCAUUUGAAAUCGGUUACAAUGUGGAGGGAAAAUCAACAUUUUACAUGGUGAAUAUCCACCAAAGGCCACAAGAUGGCAGCAUUGCACUUACUUAUGUCAGUCAACAAAGCCACAGAGCUGGAAGAAUCCCUAAAGCAGAAAUGAGGACCAUGUGCAAAUCUGAAUUGUUUUGAUGAAAUAAAAACGUAUAAUUGUUAUUGAAAA